UCCGGCGUCUUUGGCAUACAGGCCCAUGUGGUGUUUAAGCUAGUACCUGGGGCUGCCAGUCUACCCGAAGUCCAACUCCGAUUGUGGCUUUGGAUUUUGCCCAUGGCGGGUGAUAGGCCCGUACGGGUAGGCUAUUGUUGGUUUUGUGUGGCCUUCAGAUGUGCUUGCUUUCGAGUCGGAUUGCUUGAGAAUGCAGUCCAAAGUGGGUGGUAAACUCCAUCCAAGGCUAAAUACUGGCACGAGUCCGAUAGUAGACAAGUACCGUGAGGGAAAGUUGAAAAGUACUCUGAAGAGAGAGUAAAUAGUACGUGAAGCCGGUUGCAGAGAAGCUGGUGGAAUCAAGCUUCAUGCUUGAGAGAUUUGUGUCUGUGGCAUUGCAUUGUUGUGAUAUUGGAGCUGAUCAACUUGGAAUAAGUUGGGCGCAUUCGUGUGCUUCAAGUCAUUCUGGGGGGCUGUGUGUUUGUGUUGGCUUCAUGACUCUGUUGCAGGCACUCUAUCUCUCGCUGCAUAGAUCACGGUCAAUAGCGUUGCUCGCGUGCUGUAUGGUUGUCUAACUGUGCUUUGUCAGGCUUAAUGGUUUGUCGGGUGCAGGAUGGCAGGUGGUGCCUACAAAUCUCGUGUUUGUAGGCACUUAUUGUGGUUUAGACCAGCUGAUGACCAUGCAGUGUCGUUGCUAUUGUUGUUACUCGAUGCUUUGUCUUAGGACAUGGUAUUGGUGAGAACCGUGAUUCUGAGGUAGAUUUUCCACCCGAC
rnacentral:rRNA from 1 species